rnacentral:lncRNA from 1 species
ACUUCCUGUCACUGUGGGCUGGUUAAUCCCUACUGUCUCUAUGGUAAGAUGACCUCCAACCCUCCCCUCCCCUUAAAUUAUAAAAGUAAUGAAGAAUUUCUUUUUACAGGAUGUUCUUGGGAAAGAUACUAGAGUGCUUGGCCAUUUCCUUCUCCUGCUCAUUUUGCAUAUGAUGAAACUGGGACAAACAGAAGAGUUGUCAGAGGAUCAGAGACAUAAAGUAAUUUGCCAAAAUAACCCAGCUAACAAAUAUGUAUGUUGUGACAGUAGCUGGCACUAGAGAAAAAGUGCCAGGCUGAAGAGUAUGUGAAAUUGAUCACCUCGAUGGGGGAGGGACACCAGGAGUGGAAUCCGGAGGAGGAGAAGACUCUGGCUGGGAGAGCAGUGAGGGCUCUCGGUCUUGAGAAGCUGAAGAGAGAAAUUGGGAAAAAGACUUUCUACUGAGAGUGACCCAUUUUUCCUGCUGGUGACUGUAAAUCUCCAUUGAAGGGACUUUCUGAAGAGAAACCUGAGCAGACGUUAACUCAGCUCUUGUUGCCCAGGGGUGAGUCAACCUGACUUUCUCUCAGGGGGCUCAGACUUCCAAGGUCUGAGUUCCCCCCAAACUCGAGGAGGGAGGGCAAAGGAUUUAGAUAGAGACAGGGACCCCCUUUUCCCACAUUCCUUUUCCCAUAUUUCCCUGCCCGAUAUUUCCUUUUGUAUUACCUGAUUGAGUUGAUGUUAAAAAUUAUCUAUUCCCCAAGCAGAGUGUGAGUGAACAGAUCAAGGGAAGACCCUUUGGUCUCAAGUAGUGGAGGGAGGACAAGAGGGACAAGAGCAAAUUGGGGAAAGAAGCUUUAGCUAAGGGGGAAGGCAGAAGGAGUGAAAUCUUCAAACCCCUUCUCCUCUCUCUGAGCCAACCGUAAACAUCUGUUGUCUCCCCUGAACCCCACUUUGAGAAGGGGAUUCUCCUCUCUUUUCCCCUCUCCAUACCAAAAGUCCAAACCUCCCUCGGGGUACAAACUUCUCUCUUUUAUCUUUUUUUUAAUACAGUUGGCACCCUGGAUUUAAAAGAACCCCAUUUAUUAAAAAAAAAAAACACCUUUAAUGACUGUCACCAACUGUCAUCAUCUGUCAGUUGUGAAGUUGUUGUCAAUUAUAACUCCUGAGGCUAGCAGCCUUUGUCACUGACUCUGCCUAGCAGUUUCCACACAAUGUUCUUAUAAAUCUUAGUUUAAAAUAUUUUGUCAUUCAGAAAGCCCAAAUGGAGAUUUUUGAGGGACCUUGACUAGUUUUAAUAU